rnacentral:rRNA from 1 species
UCGAUGGGAAACAGGUUAAUAUUCCUGUACUUGGUGUUACUGCGAAGGGGGGACGGAGAAGGCUAUGUUAGCCGGGCGACGGUUGUCCCGGUUUAAGCAUGUAGGCUGGUUGUCCAGGCAAAUCCGGAUAAUCAAGGCUGAGGUGUGAUGACGAGGCACUACGGUGCUGAAGUAACAAAUGCCCUGCUUCCAGGAAAAGCCUCUAAGCAUCAGGUAACAUUAAAUCGUACCCCAAACCGACACAGGUGGUCAGGUAGAGAAUACCAAGGCGCUUGAGAGAACUCGGGUGAAGGAACUAGGCAAAAUGGUGCCGUAACUUCGGGAGAAGGCAC